rnacentral:rRNA from 1 species
UACGUAGGGUGCGAGCGUUAAUCGGAAUUACUGGGCGUAAAGCGUGCGCAGGCGGUUCGCUGUGUCCGAUGUGAAAGCCCCGGGCUUAACCUGGGAAUGGCAUUGGAAACUGGCGGGCUUGAGUGUGGCAGAGGGGGGUGGAAUUCCGCGUGUAGCAGUGAAAUGCGUAGAGAUGCGGAGGAACACCGAUGGCGAAGGCAGCCCCCUGGGCUAACACUGACGCUCAGGCACGAAAGCGUGGGGAGCAAACA